UUGAAUUUGCUGAUAAUGCAGAAGGGAUUAUUCUUCUGGAAGACUCCGCUGGGGAUAAAGUCCGCUGGGGAUAGGUGGUAUCUUUCCAGGGAAUAAGAAUAUAGGGGAAAUCUAUCCUUGAUUUUUUUGCUUUAAUUAUCAUGGAGACUUUCUGUAUCUGAAGACUCUGCAGGGGAUUAUGGUGUCUGAUAUCUGGUUACGAGAUCUUUCCUCUAGGAGACUCUGCCGGGGAACAGUGAUGUCUGACCUUUGAAUAUAAAUGAGAAUUCAGGAGAAAUCCUGCAAUUCUUGAAUUUGCUUAAAAUGCAUAACACACUCUUCUUUUACUACAAAACAUUACUGAGGAGGAGACAUAUCCUUCUAUUGAAUGGACAGAGAACAACAGGAGAUUCCCUGUAGUUUCUGAAUAUCAACUUUCUUCACUCGCUGAGGGAUGGAGACCUCUGUAUUACUCCUGCUCAGGGAAAUCAAAUCUUCCUUCUCAUCCUCUGCUGGGGACAUUGCUGAUCCCGCCUUAAUAAAUUACUGGGGAAAUACCUGUAGUAAUCCCAUAGGCCAAAUCUGUAACUUAAAACCUGGAUCAAAGUCUUCAUGAUCAAUUAACCGGGGAGUCUUCAUGAUCAAUUAAACUGGGGAGUCUUCAUGAUCAAUUAACUGGGGAGUCUUCAUGCCCCAAGUGAAGGGAAUAAACUUCUUGAAAUAUUUCUUGCAUGAUCUCUUGAGGAAAACUAGGAAGCAUAGCUGGGGAUAUCCAGAAUCACAACCUCUGCUGGAGAAAUAUUACUGCCAAGACACCUGUGGAGAUUUUUUCAUCAUAUACAUAUAAGGAUAGUAAUAUGAACAUGUCUAGUUGGAAUCACAUGAUUUCAGAAUUACUGGGACCACAUGUCUCAAUCCUUUUAUUGAUGUCCACAAAUCAAAAUAAAUAAUCUUUAUAUUUUUCAAAAACUGUUUUUAAUUCAAAACUUUUGUUUCAAAACAUAUCUGUCAAAGUAAAAGAACUUUCGUAAAUUGAAAUGAAAAUUAAGAGUGCCAAGAAAUAUAGAAAGGCUCAAAUUGAUUUGAUAGGAUGGUAAUCAGCCAACAGCGUGAUUCCAUAUAUCUUUACAAAUUGGAAAAUGGUAAUUUCGUGGAAAAAGGGUACGUUGAACUACAAUGACAUCAUUCUCUCUUCCACUUUUGACCUGUAUUGCAGCCUUGAGAAAGUUGGAGAACUGUUGAAAAUAUUCUGAUACUUCAAUGAUCUUAUCUCUGUUAUGCAGUUACUUGCCUGAAAUCCCUAACUUUUGCCUAGAUUGCCCUUUCGGGUUUUCAAUCUACCGGGAUAAUAUUCUCUUUGUUUUUUUAUGUCUCUAAUUUCUGCUUGGACCGCCCUUUCAGGUUUUCAGUCCACCGAGACGCUCAUUUUUGCCUAAGCCGCCCUUUCGGGUUUUCAACUUAGCGAGCUGUUCUUUUCAUUUUUUAGGCGAAGUAUUUCUUGACUGCAUCUGUAUUCACGGGACGUGGAAGCUCUUCACCAUCCAUGUUUGUAAGAAU
rnacentral:lncRNA from 1 species